GGCAAAUAUUGGCAAUUAGUUGGCAGUGGCCUGUUACGGUUGGGAUUGGUGGGGUGGGUUUAGGUAAUUGUUUAGUUUAUGAUUGCAGAUAAACUCAUGCCAGAGAACUUAAAGUCUUAGAAUGGAAAAAGUAAAGAAAUAUCAACUUCCAAGUUGGCAAGUAACUCCCAAUGAUUUAGUUUUUUUCCCCCCAGUUUGAAUUGGGAAGCUGGGGGAAGUUAAAUAUGAGCCACUGGGUGUACCAGUGCAUUAAUUUGGGCAAGGAAAGUGUCAUAAUUUGAUACUGUAUCUGUUUUCCUUCAAAGUAUAGAGCUUUUGGGGAAGGAAAGUAUUGAACUGGGGGUUGGUCUGGCCUACUGGGCUGACAUUAACUACAAUUAUGGGAAAUGCAAAAGUUGUUUGGAUAUGGUAGUGUGUGGUUCUCUUUUGGAAUUUUUUUCAGGUGAUUUAAUAAUAAUUUAAAACUACUAUAGAAACUGCAGAGCAAAGGAAGUGGCUUAAUGAUCCUGAAGGGAUUUCUUCUGAUGGUAGCUUUUGUAUUAUCAAACUUUUUUCAGAUAACAUCUUCUGAGUCAUAACCAGCCUGGCAGUAUGAUGGCCUAGAUGCAGAGAAAACAGCUCCUUGGUGAAUUGAUAAGUAAAGGCAGAAAAGAUUAUAUGUCAUACCUCCAUUGGGGAAUAAGCAUAACCCUGAGAUUCUUACUACUGAUGAGAACAUUAUCUGCAUAUGCCAAAAAAUUUUAAGCAAAUGAAAGCUACCAAUUUAAAGUUACGGAAUCUACCAUUUUAAAGUUAAUUGCUUGUCAAGCUAUAACCACAAAAAUAAUGAAUUGAUGAGAAAUACAAUGAAGAGGCAAUGUCCAUCUCAAAAUACUGCUUUUACAAAAGCAGAAUAAAAGCGAAAAGAAAUGAAAAUGUUACACUACAUUAAUCCUGGAAUAAAAGAAGCCGAAAUAAAUGAGAGAUGAGUUGGGAUCAAGUGGAUUGAGGAGGCUGUGCUGUGUGCCAAUGUUUCGUUUGCCUCAGACAGGUAUCUCUUCGUUAUCAGAAGAGUUGCUUCAUUUCAUCUGGGAGCAGAAAACAGCAGGCAGCUGUUAACAGAUAAGUUUAACUUGCAUCUGCAGUAUUGCAUGUUAGGGAUAAGUGCUUAUUUUUAAGAGCUGUGGAGUUCUUAAAUAUCAACCAUGGCACUUUCUCCUGACCCCUUCCCUAGGGGAUUUCAGGAUUGAGAAAUUUUUCCAUCGAGCCUUUUUAAAAUUGUAGGACUUGUUCCUGUGGGCUUCAGUGAUGGGAUAGUACACUUCACUCAGAGGCAUUUGCAUCUUUAAAUAAUUUCUUAAAAGCCUCUAAAGUGAUCAGUGCCUUGAUGCCAACUAAGGAAAUUUGUUUAGCAUUGAAUCUCUGAAGGCUCUAUGAAAGGAAUAGCAUGAUGUGCUGUUAGAAUCAGAUGUUACUGCUAAAAUUUACAUGUUGUGAUGUAAAUUGUGUAGAAAACCAUUAAAUCAUUCAAAAUAAUAAA
rnacentral:lncRNA from 1 species